rnacentral:rRNA from 1 species
GAUGAACGCUGGCGGCGUGCCUAAUACAUGCAAGUCGAGCGAAUGGAUUAAGAGCUUGCUCUUAUGAAGUUAGCGGCGGACGGGUGAGUAACACGUGGGUAACCUGCCCAUAAGACUGGGAUAACUCCGGGAAACCGGGGCUAAUACCGGAUAAUAUUUUGAACUGCAUGGUUCAAAAUUGAAAGGCGGCUUCGGCUGUCACUUAUGGAUGGACCCGCGUCGCAUUAGCCAGUUGGUGCGGUAACGGCUUACCAAGGCAACGCUGCGUAGCCGACCUGUGAGGGUGAUCGGCCACACUGGGACUGAGAAACGGCCAAGAAUCCUACGGGAGGCAGCAGUAGGGAAUCGUCCGAAAUGGACGAAAGUCUGACGGAGCAACGCCGCGUGAGUGAUGAAGGCUUUCGGGUCGUAAAACUCUGUUGUUAGGGAAGAACAAGUGCUAGUUGAAUAAGCUGGCACCUUGACGGUACCUAACCAGAAAGCCACGGCUAACUACGUGCCAGCAGCCGCAGUAA